ensembl:lncRNA
CCGUGCCACUCAGCGGUGUAGUGUAUUGUGCAGUAGAGCUUACCUUAUCAGACCUUGUAGCACAGUCUCGGGCCUCACCUCCAAUAGAGUCAAUAUUGUCGGUAAACAUUAACCCAGCUGGACUUCUCUCUCUCCUACUGCGUCACAUAUUGAAAGCCCUCACAACAAGAGAACUAGUCACGAUCACUGAUUAGGCUUUUGGAAUCGAGAGAGAAAAAUCCAGUUGGAGUUGAGAGUGAGUAAAUGAGCGUACCUCACAGGAUACCAAGACUCUCACGCUAAAGAAGGUCUUCUAGAGGCUGAAGUGGAGUGUUUAUUUGGAAUACAGAUGCAGGGUUGGACCAGCUAUUGAGAUACUAACAGAGGCCUAUACAUCCAGAACCCAAGUCUCACAGACUGUAUUUACUGUCGCCAUCGCUGAAAACAUUGAGAGAUGGCUCUGGAAAGUGUUCCAGACCCCCCUGACCCGGCAGGGUCACCAGAGGACUGGGUCCAGUGGGCUGUGCAGCGCCUGCAGAUGGAGCCCUGGGCGUUGGGGGGCAUUGUGGUCAUAGGGCUGUUCCUGCUGAUGAUCCUGGCCCUGGUGGUCUUCGCUCUAAUAUAUGGCUGUUGCUGCUCACCUGGAGGGGGGAAGAGGAGAAUGAAGAAAGGGGUGCUUUAGAGAAGUGGGUCCCACUCUCCAUGACUGUUCUACGGCCAUUGAGAUUUUCUGUACCCCCUUACGUCUACGAUGACUUUUCCAAAAGAAAAGACUGUGCAAAAAAAUCUUCCAGCCCCAAGCAUUAUUAAUGGGACCAUCAUUUAAACAAACACUCUGAGGAAUGUCUGAAUUGGCAAAUAAUUCGAUCCAAGUCAAGAUAAUAACGUUCAUAAAUUGAUUUGCGUAUUUGAUUAUGAAAAUGUGCUGUUUGAUUAUCAUUAAAUGUUGAAACUUUAAAUGAAUCCUUUCAAUAAAAAAACUAUAUGCAUGCGCAUAUCAUAAGCGAUGCUGAAAGUGCCGUCGUCGUGUAUAGCAGAGCCAGAAUGAGUCACAAGAUGGCGGGUGUGCCAGAAUGGACUUGGAGAUGGAGUCAUUGAGGAUGGAAAGAAGGAGCGGGCAGGAGGGGGAAAAAGGAAGAAAGUGGAACAUAUUAAGAGUAAAUAUAGAGUUCUGCAGAAGGAAAUUGAACAUGAAUUAACUGCGGUGUCAGGUGCGGUAAAGAACACAGAGUCUGGGGACUGUGACAUGCUUUCCUCUCUGGAGCAGGGCGCCUUUGAAAGGAGUGAAAACUGGUGUGGUGUUAAGUGUUGAUGAGGGUCAACUGAAGUUGAAGAUUCCCGGUGUCUGUGACGCCUGCCAUUUGAUGUGACGCAGACCCAGUGUAGAGCGUGGUGAAACAUCAAAGACACUGUACUAUUGAUGCAGAGUUUUUACCAGAUAAAGUCAAGUUAGGAUGUGUCCGUUAGAGCUUUUGUCCCAAACCUAUUACGGUGUUUUA